CAAGUCGAGCGGUAGAGAGAAGCUUGCUUCUCUUGAGAGCGGCGGACGGGUGAGUAAAGCCUAGGAAUCUGCCUGGUAGUGGGGGAUAACGUUCGGAAACGGACGCUAACACCGCAUACGUCCUACGGGAGAAAGCAGGGGACCUUCGGGCCUUGCGCUAUCAGAUGAGCCUAGGUCGGAUUAGCUAGUUGGUGAGGUAAUGGCUCACCAAGGCGACGAUCCGUAACUGGUCUGAGAGGAUGAUCAGUCACACUGGAACUGAGACACGGUCCAGACUCCUACGGGAGGCAGCAGUGGGGAAUAUUGGACAAUGGGCGAAAGCCUGAUCCAGCCAUGCCGCGUGUGUGAAGAAGGUCUUCGGAUUGUAAAGCACUUUAAGUUGGGAGGAAGGGCAUUAACCUAAUACGUUAGUGUUUUGACGUUACCGACAGAAUAAGCACCGGCUAACUCUGUGCCAGCAGCCGCGGUAAUACAGAGGGUGCAAGCGUUAAUCGGAAUUACUGGGCGUAAAGCGCGCGUAGGUGGUUUGUUAAGUUGGAUGUGAAAUCCCCGGGCUCAACCUGGGAACUGCAUUCAAAACUGACUGACUAGAGUAUGGUAGAGGGUGGUGGAAUUUUCCUGUGUAGCGGUGAAAUGCGUAGAUAUAGGAAGGAACACCAGUGGCGAAUGCGACCACCUGGACUAAUACUGACACUGAGGUGCGAAAGGCGUGGGAGCAAACAGGAUUAGAUACCC
rnacentral:rRNA from 1 species